rnacentral:sRNA from 1 species
UGUAACUGGUGUCUUCUCACCCUGGGCAGGCCGUCCAGGGCACUGGCCUGGCAUUCAUCGUCUACACAGAGGCCAUUAAAAACAUGGAGGUGUCCCAGCUGUGGUCGGUGCUCUACUUCUUCAUGCUGCUGAUGCUGGGCAUUGGGAGCAUGCUGGGGAACACAGCGGCCAUCCUCACCCCUCUGACAGACAGCAAGAUCAUCUCCAGCCACCUGCCCAAGGAGGCCAUCUCAGGUCUGGUGUGCCUUGUCAACUGUGCCAUUGGCAUGGUGUUCACGAUGGAGGCUGGGAACUACUGGUUUGACAUAUUCAACGACUACGCGGCCACACUGUCCCUGCUGCUCAUCGUGCUGGUGGAGACGAUUGCCGUGUGCUACGUGUACGGGCUGAGGAGAUUUGAAAGUGACCUUAAGGCCAUGACCGGCCGAGCUGUGAGC